GGCAUAGGUCACUCUUACCAGCAAUGGGGCCGGUUUCCUCUGGUGUUGUUUGCCCAGCUUGUCCUUUAGAGCCAGAAAGAAGAGCUUGUCUUCAAGGGAGGCUUCAUAAGGGUAUUUCCGAUGUAAUUGGGGUUGGCAUGCGGGCAGCUGGGCCUAAUAAAUAGAAACACCCAUUCGGCCUCAUUCAGCUGUCCCUGUGAGCCCCACCGAGCAGGAAAGACUCUCCGGCUUGGCGCUGAGCUGGCUCCUAUCUUAAAAAUUCAUCUAAUGCAAAUGGUUACAUUAAUGCAAAAGGCAAGUCACUGACACUAUAAAUAACUUGAGCUGAGUCCUGCCGACAGUGGGACGUCUGACACCGAACUGCUGCACGGUCCCCAGUGCUGAACGAGAGUGACACAGCCUCAACCAUCACCAAUUCCAGAGCAGAGGCCGGAGAGCGGAGAAGAUUUGAAAGCGCCAUGUGUCGGCUUUGAAGAUGGGGGCAAGGGCCACCAGGCAAGGAGCGCAGGUGCCGCUGGAAACUGGAAAAGGCAGGGGAUGCUUUUCCCUCCUGAGAGUCUGCAGAAGGCACACGAGCCUGCCCCCACCCCGGCGGAGGUCAGCCCGGUGAGACAAGUUCUGCCUUCCGACCUCCAGAACUGUCCCCAGGGGAUGUGCUGCAGAGGGGCCAGGGGGCCCACAGUGAGGACCUCUGCCUUCCAGAGAGCUCACACCUCCAGACUGUGGCCAACACACUCAACCACACAUUCUAGAAGGAGCUCUAGACAUGACCUCUCCAGCGUUUGAAUUCUGAGGUCUACGCAUUUGCUUCAGUGAUGAACUUUUCCUGCGGGGCAGAGAAGAAACACAGAGCCCAUGGGUGGUAGCAGAGCUGAGUGUGUCUGCGGCUUUGGGUCCAGGCUUCCGCUCCUCAGUACGGUACAACCAGAUCCACCAAACUGCUGGUCUUGGUCAAACGCACCCCAGGUGAUGGAGAUGUGGAAAGAGCGUUUCUGAACCUCUGAACAUUAUUCUGCUCCACUUUCAAAAGACAAACAUCGCCUGUAGGACGAGAAUGUGCUUCCUGCCAUCGGGGAUGAUGCUGAUGUGGCAAAGGAGCAGCACAAAGAUCCAUGCCCCGAGGGGGACCUCCAGCAGGAAAGGACAGGCGUGGGAUCCAGCAUGGUACCCUUCUGGUGGGAGCAGCAGCGAAGGCUCCAGCGGGCAGCUCACGGACCCUGGGAAGGACGCAUCCUGCUCCCUCCUCCCCCCGGUAGAACGUCCUUUGGGCCAUGUGACCUGGUGAAUCCCUGUGAAACCAGCACUGAAGCUCCAGAUGACUGGCAAAUGCUGUUUCAAGCGAGCCGGAAGUGUCUUAGCUGCCCGAGCCCCUCUGCUCAGCUUUCGUCCAUCUGCAUUUGUCCUGGCCUCCUUCUCUUCGCUCCCGGUCAGCGCAGAUUGGCCCCCGGUCCCCCUGCACGAUCCCAGGGCGCUGCCCAUAACCUGGGCACUCCCCGCCAGAGUGGUGUCUCCUGCCCAGCCCAGGCCUUGAAGCUGUGCUCUUCUGACGAGCCCCCUUCGCAGGACAGCUGGACGCCCCGCCUUCCGCGGAGACGUCAUGGGGGCGUGGCUGCCCCGCGUUGGUCCGACCAUGGCAGCGAUCCUGGUGAUUUGAAAACCAGUUUUAUUUGUGAAGAUGCCCGAGUUUCCCCACAUUUCCCAAAACAGCGCCUUUCAUUGGGCACGUAAAGCCCAGGAGAGCAGCCCUGGGGAGAAGCACAGCCGAAUUCACAAAACACAGGAUAAACGGCUGCCUCUCAGCUGUGCGACUUCUCGUCGUCUCGCGCAUCCGUUUUCCUGCUGCAAGAACGGGUCCUCGGGCUCUGGUUGGCGAGUCCUGUGUGUGGGCCUGUUACCUGCUGAGCCCUCACUUGGAGACUGCAGAGGUUAGCUCCUCGCUAGACCCCAUCGCAUCCCCGUGAUGUCUCUGCUUUCCAUCAGCCCCCCUGCCUAUUGCGGAUCUUCUUGACACGCAUGCCUUUAUGCCAGCUCCCUCUGAGCCUCACAAAGUGUGCGGCUGGACCAGCAACACCGGGGAGGCACGUCGUGGGUGCUCGAUAAUGAAAAUGCCUGGCCUGUGGCAAAGGGGAGCCAGAGGUCGCCGUCUGGCCCAUCCGGUUGUGUCCGCCACUCCAAGGCUAUCUUCCAGAAUCACAGGUGGUCAGCACCAACCGCUGAACGUACACCCUCCCGAGAACCUUCCAGGGCUCUGCCCUCUCCCCAUCUGUGCCACCCUGGGUCCCCAGGUCCUUUGACUCAAGGCUUUAGCAUUUAAACUGGCAGAUGAUGUAACCGGAGGCUCCCUGGAAAGGGCCCCUCCCUCUAGCUCACCCACCUUAGCUACAGCGUUCAUCAAAAAUGAUUAAUGUUCCAGAGCCCUUGAGAAUUAUCUGGGUCACACCUGGCCAUGCUGUCACCAAACCCCGCAGUGCGUUAUAGUCACAGUGAAGGAAGCCACCCCCACUAACCAGCCCCCAAGACCUGGCUAGCACACCAACCAGACUUUUGCAUGAGGGGGGCCAACCGCCCCCUCCCAGGCUGGACAGUUUGUACGUCCUGUCAGUCCGAUGCUCAGCCAGAGACCGUGGCCACCUCUCUUUCGGCAAGACCCAGUUUCCACAGCUCCACCCUCUCGCCCAGGAGAGCAGGACCAAAGGAGGAGGCAGGGGGACUUGAUGCCAACACGUAAAAUAAAAAGAAUUGUAAACUGCAUACUUGUGUUUUGGAUAAGAUGUCAAGAAAGCUUUCUUCAGUUAUGGAAAUUCCUUUAAAAUCAACAAAACCCCAUGGGUUGUGUUCUUUGGUGAGUUCUUCCUGUUCUUUUGCCUCCUUUUCAUUUUCACCGUAAGAAUCCAUAACCAGCCUAAAGAACAAGUCUUGCUGCAUAAUACAAGAGCAGUAGAACUAUGGGUGAUAUUAAUAAUACUGUACAUUUAUCGAGCAUUUUUCAACUUUAAAGCCCUUUAUAAAUAUUAACUAAUUAAUCCCCUUAGCAACAAAGUAGUUACUUUGCGGGCUUCUAGGCAUAUAAUUCAAGAAUGGCCUGAAUUAUAAAUCUCCCUGUGGAAUGAUUUGCCAUCUCUUUCAAAUA
rnacentral:lncRNA from 1 species